rnacentral:rRNA from 1 species
AGCGAACGCUGGCGGCAGGCCUAACACAUGCAAGUCGAGCGCCCCGCAAGGGGAGCGGCAGACGGGAGAGUAACACGUGGGAACGUACCCUUCGGUUCGGAACAACCCAGGGAAACUUGGGCUAAUACCGGAUACGUCCGAAAGGAGAAAGAUUUAUCGCCGAGGGAUCGGCCCGCGUCUGAUUAGCUAGUUGGUGGGGUAACGGCCCACCAAGGCGACGAUCAGUAGCUGGUCUGAGAGGAUGAUCAGCCUCAAUGGGACUGAGACACGGCCCAGACUCCUACGGGAGGCAGCAGUGGGGAAUAUUGGACAAUGGGCGCAAGCCUGAUCCAGCCAUGCCGCGUGGGUGAUGAAGGCCCUAGGGUUGUAAAGCCCUUUCGGCGGGGAAGAUAAUGAUGGUACCCGCAGAAGAAGCCCCGGCUAACUUCGUGCCAGCCGCCGCGGUAAUAC